UACGAGGGGGGCGAGCGUUGUUCGGAAUUAUUGGGCGUAAAGGGUGCGUAGGCGGUUCCGCAAGUCCUGUGUGAAAUCUUCGGGCUCAACUCGAAGUCUGCACGGGAAACUGCGGGGCUUGAGUGUGGGAGAGGUGAGUGGAAUUCCCGGUGUAGCGGUGAAAUGCGCAGAUAUCAGGAGGAACACCGGUGGCGAAGGCGGGUCUCUGGGCCGAAACUGACGCUGAGGAGCGAAAGCGUGGGGAGCGAACAGG
rnacentral:rRNA from 1 species